rnacentral:lncRNA from 1 species
CCAAAAAACCUUAUUAAAAUUAAUUUUUUUUUUCUAACAGGGAAAAAAGCCAUCAAAGUUAAAGAUCUUGUGAGAAAUGACAAAACUUCUCGGGGAAUACUUUAAUGGUCUUUUUCCAAGAAAGACCAGAAUUUCUCUUUCAUGGAUAAAACCAGAAUUUUUGUUAACCCCAAACAGAGUUAAGGUAAUUAAUAUGAUUUUUUUCAAAAUUUUUUUUUAAAUUAAAAUUUCUCUUAGAAGGCUAAACUGCAGUCAUUAGUGAAUAUGGUUGCCUUAACUUCUUUUGACAUAUCAGUCUGAUGACAGAAUCUCAGUUUGAGAAUAAUUUCAUAAACUCUUUAAAGUAGCUUUUUUUAAAUUUUUUUUAAUUUUUAAGUUUUAGGUGGACACAGUAUCUCCACUUUACAUUUAUGUGGUGCUGAGGAUCGAACCCAGUGCCUUGUGCUUGCUAGGCGAUCACUCUACCACUGAGCCACAACCCCAGCCCUUUAAAGUAGGUUUUAACAAAAAGCAAACUAUGACUACGGCGUGCAAAAUUAGGUAAAUCAGGAAUUAUGGAAAAAUAGCAAAGGUAUUGAAAUAUUUAGCUCUUGUUCUCAUGUAAUUUUUCUGUUAAUUAUACCCAAUGGACAAGAUUAAAACACAUCUCUUGGGGCUCGGAUUGUGGCUCAGUGGUAGAAGGCUCGCCUAGCAUGCGUGGGGCUCUGGGUUCAAUCCUCAACACCACAUUAAAAAAAAUAAAUGAAUGGAAUAAAGGCAUUGUGUCCAACUAAAAAAAAAAAAAAAAAAAAUCUGUUUUCUAAGAUUUACGCAGGAUUACACUUUCGUGAAGUAAAUUCACGUAGUUGGGCAGGAUCAGGUUUCGUUUAUGUUAAUGCUUCUGUUUUAUUAUUAAAGCGAGGUCUUCAUGUGUCUCAGCAAUGGUAUUUUUUUUUUUUCUUUUUUAGGUUAAGGAGUUAGCAAACAGUCCUUCUCUCGGCACCUGCUGAGGUUCAUUUAUCAAAUGAGCCCAUAAGCAGUUUCAGAGUGUAAGAAACACUGACAAUGAUGAGCUGGAGUUGUAGCUCAGUGGUAGAGUGUUUGCCUGGCAUGUUUGAGGCCCUGGGUUUGAUCUUCAGCAUUGCAUAUAAAUAAAUAAAAUAAAAGAUCCAUCGGCGACUAAAAUAUAUAUGUAUAUAUAUAUAUAUAUAUAUAUACACACACACACACAUACACACACAUACAUACAUACACACACACACACUGCAAAUGAGUUCACUGAGCCACCAAGUGAGUACAGAAGCCACUUAACUAUUGAAGUAAACAGAAAGUCACAGUUGGAAGGGACCUUGAAUGAUCUAAACUUUUCACCCUAUGUUUCCCUGCCUCGUGUACAACACAACCACCACCUAUUAUUCAGUAUAUCUUUUUAAAAACAAUGGCAUAAGACAAAGAAACCAACCAAAAUCCUACAACUUUGAUUCUAGAAAAUCAAGAGAAUCUUUUUUUAAUAAGCUCUGGGCUUAUAUCAUGAAGCUGCCACAGGAAGUUCCAGAAUGGGGCUUUCUAUACAACUAGAUACUGGCUUAGUAAUCAUGAGCUAGAAUGUUAGAAGUCCCAGCUCUUAGACAAAUUCUGAAGGAAAGAAAUCUCAGCACCCUGCUGUCUUGUUACCUGUUUUGAUUUGCCUAAAACCUAGAGUUUCACAACAUCCUUACUUACCUAUUUCACUGUUCAAGAGCUUUUGCUUUUAAUGAAAUUUUUCUUGUGAUAAGCUCAUUCCCUUAUGUUCUGUUUGUGUAACUCAAACUUGG